UACGUAGGGAGCAAGCGUUGUCCGGAAUCAUUGGGCGUAAAGCGCGCGUAGGUGGCCUCGUAAGUCCGCUGUGAAAGUCAAAGGCUCAACCUUUGAAAGCCGGUGGAUACUGUGAGGCUAGAGUACGGAAGAGGCGAGUGGAAUUCCUGGUGUAGCGGUGGAAUGCGCAGAUAUCAGGAGGAACACCAAUAGCGAAGGCAGCUCGCUGGGACGUCACUGACACUGAGGCGCGAAAGCGUGGGGAGCGAACAGG
rnacentral:rRNA from 1 species